rnacentral:rRNA from 1 species
ACGAACGCUGGCGGCGUGCUUAACACAUGCAAGUCGAGCGGUAAGGCCCUUUCGGGGGUACACGAGCGGCGAACGGGUGAGUAACACGUGGGUGACCUGCCCUCAGCUCUGGGAUAAGCCUGGGAAACCGGGUCUAAUACCGGAUAUGACUCCAUGACGCAUGUUGUGGGGUGGAAAGCCUUGUGCGGCUGAGGAUGGGCCCGCGGCCUAUCAGCUUGUUGGUGGGGUGAUGGCCUACCAAGGCGACGACGGGUAGCCGGCCUGAGAGGGCGACCGGCCACACUGGGACUGAGACACGGCCCAGACUCCUACGGGAGGCAGCAGUGGGAAUCUUGCGCAAUGGGCGAAAGCCUGACGCAGCGACGCCGCGUGAGGGAUGACGGCC